GUGUACUUACAUUUAUUACACAGAGUUAUUAUAUCCGGUAUGUAUAUAUAAUAUUGCAGCCCUACUGCGGUACACAGUGUACUGCUGCAUUAACGUGCAGCCCUUGCCUGUACAAUAAUACUGUAACACACUGAAAAACAGCACGCCUGCAGCCUGGGGCUCAAGAACACACAUUCCAUAUCUCUAUGUGCUGGAACAGGCAUACAUGCACAUGCACACACACACACACUUGCACACAAACAUUUAAACAUUUAGAUACCUUGCCAGAACAUGUAACGAUCCAAAUGUCAGGACAAUUAGUUCAAUGGUGCCAGAAGGCAGGGGAAGGGUUCAGUGGAAGACACACCCAGGCCUGUCCUGCCUCCUAUCUUCAGCAACCAUCCCUCUGCUCCCCGUCUUCCCCUCCCACUCUUGUGAGAUCCAUAAACAGGCUCUGAUAGCACAACUCCUUCCCUCUGAUAGCACAACUCCUUCCCUCUGAUAGAACAACUCCUUUUCUCUGAUAGCACAACUCCUUCCCUCUGAUAGCACAACUCCUUCCCUCUGAUAACACAACUCCUUCCCUCUGACAGCACAACUCCUUCCCUCUGAUAGCACAACUCCUUCCCUCUGAUAGCACAACUCCUUCCCUCUGACAGCACAACUCCUUCCCUCUUACAGCACAACUCCUUCCCCCUGAUAGGACAACUUCUUCCCUCUGAUAACACAACUUCUUCCCUCUGACAGCACAACUCCUUCCCUCUGAUAGCACAACUCCUUCCCUCUGAUAGCACAACUCCUUCCCCCUGAUAGGACAACUUCUUCCCUCUGAUAACACAACUCCUUCCCCCUGAUAGCACAACACCUUCCCCCUGAUAGCACAACUCCUUCCCUCUGAUAGCACAACACCUUCCCUCUGACAGCACAAUACCUUCCCCCUGAUAGCACAACUCCUUCCCUCUGAUAGCACAACUCCUUCCCUCUGAUAGCACAACUCCUUCCCUCUGAUAGCACAACUCCUUCCCUCUGAUAGGACAACUCCUUCCCUCUGAUAGCACAACUCCUUUUCUCUGAUAGCACAACUCCUUCCCUCUGAUAGCACAACUCCUUCCCUCUGAUAGCACAACUCCUUCCCUCUGAUAACACAACUCCUUUUCUCUGAUAGCACAACUCCUUCCCUCUCACAGCACAACUCCUUCCAGGGCAGACAUGGCACACAGGGCCGAUAGACAGCAGCACCACAAAACUGAGACACCGACUGACCUAUGCAACAUCUAUAAAAUAAACAACCGUUACGAAGGCUCAUGCUGCAUUUUAUAUUAAAACCAUGGAGCAGUCCUGAGGACAGAUUAAAUACAAUUUCUAAAAUAUCAAAAUAUCAAGUCAAGGGGUUUCUGUUUGCAAGCAGCUAUCAUGCCUCUAGGCUUUUCUUCCAUGUUCUGUACAGUAAUGUGCUUGUACACUGUCAAUAGCCUCCAUACGGUACCUUAAUACAGUAUGCCAUUAUAGGAGGGGAGCCUAACACAUAACCUGCAGCUAGGUAGCACACUAGACUUGUAAAACUCACUUAGUUGUAAAAAUGCUCCAGUAAAUAUGGACUUGUAUUAGUGGACAAUAUAUGACCCGUAAGCCAAAUAGCUUUGGCCCGCUGGGAUAAGUGCAACAUCUUGGGAAAUUAAAGUUAACACUGACUCAGGGCUAGGAGAAUAAACUAGGUAUAAACGUGAGCGCAGUCCAAACUUCUGUGAAAACGACAGUGCCGCCCUCAUGUGGUGGCUACUUGCCAGAGCCCCUAAUUCUGUAAUACUUCAGAUACUGCCAAAACGCUAUCGCUGGAUAGACACUACAGUGAAGUCAGAAAGCCAAGUGUUUUAUAAGGCAAUUAUUUGUAAUUAUUUGCAUUAUUUAAUAAGUAACAUGGCACAUCCCCCAGGGGAAACUAACAAGAAACUUAUUGUUGAACCUGCAUUGGAAAUGAGAAAACCUGCUUUGGCUUGCACCGAGUUAAAUACAUGCCAUUGUAUAUCUAUUCCUUGCUGACAACAUUUCUGAUAAGAGAUUAUUAUAAUCUGUUUUCAUGCAAGGACAGGAGGACGCCUCCGUGCAACAGAAAAGAACCCCAAAAUUAUUCAUAGGGGGUACAGACACUUACAGUUCAACUGCAGUUCACCUGCACCCCUUGUACAUGUAGCAGAAAAAAGGCUCACGCAUGAUUUGGAGAAUGUGAGUGCUGAUCUGCAUUUUGUUUUAAUGGAUUAAGUUGACACUGCAGCAAUGGGGUGGGCUUACAAAUAUAAUUGGGUAAUACAAAUUUGUAGACAUAGGGAAAAGAAGUUUUAAAACAAUAGUUCCUCAGCAUACCUGUAAACUUAGUUUAUGCACGUGACACCUUAAACACACUCCUGUUACUGAUACAUACAAUGUCCAAUAGAAAUACACGAUAGCUGGAAACAGGAUUUGUAAUAGCAUCUUGUUCAACAAGGACUUAUCUUCAUAUUGUCAAAAUGAUUAUCUUUAUCAUUACCACAAAUGCAAAGAAACAAGAAAGGGGAGAUAGUCAAAACAGAAUGUGCAGAAUGCGGUCUGUGAGCUAUUCCAACCAGUUUAAGGACACUAAUCUAACAUGAGAGCAACAUAUCAUUUAUCUGUGACAAGCUGUGACUAUAGACUCACCUAAUGUUCUCACUGCUUCCCUGGAACAUUUCAAUGACGUGUGGCAUUGCAAAUAUGUGGAAAAAGUUGGUAAUAUGCAGGAGAUUCUCCUCGCGUCUUCAGAGUGUCUGCAUGUUUGAGCAGUUAAAUAUUCACUGACACAUUCUGCCAACCCACAGCAGAGAUGUCAUUUUCUGAUUCCCACCUCUGCACAUGUGACUGUCUGCAGGUGUGACUAUGCACUCUGCUAACUCUGCUGUUCUGUCCCAGCUCUGCAGUUGUGACUAUUCGCCCUGCUAACUCUGCUGUUCUGUCCCAGCUCUGCAGUUGUGACUAUUCGCCCUGCUAACUCUGCAGGUGUGGCUAUUCACCCUGCUAACUCUGCUGCUCUGUCCCAGCUCUGCAGGUAUGACUAUUCACCCUGCUAACUCUGCAGGUGUGGCUAUUCGCCAUACUAACUCUGCUGUUCUGUCCCAGCUCUGCAGGUGUGACUAUUCGCCCCGCUAACUCUGCAGGUGUGACUAUUCGCCCUGCUAACUCUGCUGCUCUGUCCCAGCUCUGCAGGUAUGACUAUUCACCCUGCUAACUCUGCAGGUGUGACUAUUCGCCCUGCUAACUCUGCUGUUCUGUCCCAGCUCUGCAGUUGUGACUAUUCGCCCCGCUAACUCUGCAGGUGUGACUAUUCGCCAUACUAACUCUGCUGUUCUGUCCCAGCUUUGCAGGUGUGGCUAUUCACCAUGCUAACUGUGCAGGUGUGACUAUUCACCCUGCUACCUCUGCAUGUGCGACUAUUCACUCUGCUAACUCUGCAGGUGUGGCUAUUCACCUUGCUAACUCUGCAGGUGUGGCUAUUCACCCUGCUAACUCUGCUGUUCUGUCCCAGCUCUGCAGGUGUGACCAUUCACCCUGCUAACUCUGCUGUUCUGUCCCAGCUCUGCAGGUGUGACCAUUCACCUUGCUAACUCUGCAGGUGUGACUAUUCGCUCUGCUAACUCUGCUGUUCUGUCCCAGCUCUGCAGGUGUGACUAUUCGCUGUUCUAACUCUGCUGUUCUGUCUCACUUCUGCUGAAUAGAAAGAACCAGCUCACACCACAAAACAAUAUUUUCUUAUUUUCUCAUUUUGGGAUUAUUCAUUGGGAAUGUAAGAAAUUUGCAUUAAAUUACUUUUUCUUUUAAAUCCGUUUUCAGAUAUGGGGGCAGAUGGGAUCUAACUCUGUGUCAGCAGUUUUCUUUCUUUAACUGCGGAAGCAAGAUCAGUGGACACACUGAGAGCUGUGCUCCGGGCACAUUCCUCUUCAGGUGAUGCAGCACAUUCCGUAAGCCAGGGGGUGUCUAACCUUAUGUGAAAAAAGCCAGCGUGGGAGCAGGGCUUUCCUUUAGCCCAGCACUACGACACCUGAUCCUACUGAUUAACUAAUCGCAGUCUCUUCAAUCAAGGCAUCAAUAAGAAGAAUGAGCUGUAUCAGUGCCAGGCUUUAACAAAAAUUUGCACCCACACUGGCUUUUUUCGGAUGAGAUUGGACACCCCUGCUCUAAGCCCAUGUGUCAGGUUAUCUGGGACUGUGGCCUAAGAUAUAAUAAAGUAAUAAAAGUAAUAUACUUCCUGUGCAUUCCAGCUCCAUAAAGGUUAACUGAAGCAAUUUUGCUUAAGAGUCGGUAUCUUUCUUAAAUGUCACACCUUGAAUUCCAACCUGCAGCAUGCCAGUUUGAAGUAUUGCUCACUGCACAGAAUGCCACAUCAUGCAACCAACACCUUGGAAUUUUUUGGAAUUAAGACAUCGGCAGAAUGGCAUGUCUGGCUUAAUGGUGCAAGAUCACUUAGUGAUGAAAGAUCCUCAACCUGCAAAUCUACCUGAAACCUGCAGUUCCACUUCCCUCACUCUGUCUCUGCACAACUGUCUGUCCCAUUCAAAGGCAACGGAAUGCAGAAACAUGCACUCAUACUCUAGGACGGUGCUCACACUGUUAUUCCAACUGCAUUCUGAGUUACUACGACACACAUUAACCCAAAUCCACCUGGGCCAACAGUCGCCUCAUUCCCAGCCACAACCCGGACAGUGAGACCAAACUGUUUCAGUCAUCAUAAACAGCUGAACAGCUUCACCGUUAUAUUCUUUGCAAUGGUGAGAGACGUUUGUAUGUCAUCUCUCAUUCCUUUGAGACAUAUCAGCUGUAAGUGGAAUUGUUUGUACGCAUAGUGGCAUGUGAAGAACUGUGCCAGGUGUUUUGAGAGCUAUAUUGAAUGUCAGGAAAAUAAGAUGUGAAGCACAAGUGGGAGGGGAAAGUAGGACAAAUUAGAAAAUGGUGCGUUAUUGUGUCCAUGAACAAUGUGAGUUUGGACAUAGAUAUUUAGGUGAGAGAUAUUUAGGUGAGAGCCCUCUCCAGGGAGCGAUCCAUCGCUUCUGGCUUCGGAAGCAUAUCCCUGUCAUGUGAGCCAUGCAUGAGUCUGCUCUAUCAGCCUGGACAGCCGAUGCCUAGUCACGCUGAUAAUGAAGGUAAACCCUUUCUGUUAAUUAACAGAAUUACAUGCAAACUAUUUUGCGUACUCCAUCUUAGUCAUGACCUAUGAAUCACUUUAAUAACUCCUGAUUAGUAAUGCCCAUUGUAUUGCAGGAAUGCUGUUGUAAAACUGUCUGAAGAUGGAACCAAAUAAUCCUUACUAUACUAUUACCAUUCUAUGUCAUUUUUCCAUGUGUGGUCACUUAUGCUAAUGGAUGGCAAGCUUAAUUUAAUUAAGCUAAUUAUUCUUCAGAUGUUCAGUGAUUCACACAAUUAUCUAGUUGUCGUUAUUGUCAUUCUCGGUGGCCAGGGUCACAACCUUGUGUGUUCAUGAGACGGAAAUGGCUGUGCAGAGAUAUUCUGGGUCAACAAGGUCAGUGAAUAAGACUUGCAGUAAGUGAUAAUAGUGCCACUUCAGCAGAAUAGCCUGAUAAAACCUAGCCCAUUCUAACUACUCCUGAACUUGUUAACUUGUAGACUAUGCCCACCCUGCUCAAAAAGUCAGGCUAGAAUAGAAUAGAACAGAAAUACAAUUUCAAGGAUAUAAAUGUAGCUAAAAUAUAAUGCACUAUGUAGCUAGAACAUCUGAAGUGAAGUUAUCAAACUGCUAUCCUGAAAAGAGCCUGAGAGGCAUAGAGGAAAGUAAAUGAGGGAAAUCAAAAGCACUUACCUUUCAGCUGGGCUUACAGGGGACAAGGAUGGCAGAGGGUCUUCUGUUCUUGCAGGUGUGUCACAGAGUGUGGAGGUGUGUGUGGAGUCUGCUCUCUCUGUCGCCGAGUCAGCUAGCAUGUGUGCUGCACUUGUGUGAUCAGUGAGUGUGUGUGCCCUGUCUGUACCUGUGUCAGUGAGUGUGUGUGCUCUGUCUGCACCUGUGUCAGUGAGUAUGAGUUCUCCCUGUGAGUUGUGUAUGUUCGUAGCCCAGCAAUCUGCCCUUUCUGGCGUUUGCUCUUCUGAAACCAGCACACAGGGCUGUUUCUCUGUUGCCAUUCCCCGGUUCAGUGGAAGCCCCUCCCCUUCAGUCGUCGGUGAAGGAGGGGCUGGCUCACAUUUCUGAGCCAUGCACUCCUGCCGAACAGGUGAGUCCGGUUCCAUGGCAGGCAACUGGGAACGCUGUUCCACCUCCUCCAUCUCUUCUUUCACCCAUUCCUUCUGCCCCAUUACCUCAAAGUCCUCUGCCUGCACCCCUCUCCCCCCUUCCUCCUCCUCUGUCAGUGCCUUUUUAACUUCCUCUCCAUCCUGCCCCUCAACUGUCACCUCAUCCAGUUUCAGUAUGCCUGCUGGUCCCUUUUCUAUCACCUUCUCUUCCAUUUCCUCCCAUCUUUGUCCUUCCUCUUUCCAUUGCUCCAACUCUUCCCUCUUUUCUUCUAUUAGUCCUCCAUCUUUACAUUCUUGAUAAGGCACAUCUGUUUUCCCUUGGCCUUCCUGAUCUUCUUCCUGAAGGGGAGGAGCCACCUUCAUGAUAUCACCAGCCCCAUUUUCCUGAGGGUCUCUCCUGACUGGUUCUGGAGAUGGUUCUCCUGAUGGCUCCCGUCCACCACCUCCCAGUCUACCCAUCUCUUCUGCUGCUAGACCUCUAUCCAUCUCGUCUUCCUGCAUCCUUGCUUCCUGUCUGUCACUGAUGGUGUCAGGAAUUCCCAUGGUGAGAACAAUGGUUGCAACCUGGUCAGGGGUGUCAGGGCGAGAACCUUCCAAGUCUUGGGCACUUGGACAAAAUGGAUUGAGGUUCUCAGAGACAGACAGACCAGGGCUUGGCAAGUCAGAAAGAUCUGUGUUCAGGGGACAAAUGUCAGUGUCGGGAGUAACACUGUUAGAGAGGUCAGUGUUUAGGAGGGAGCUGUCCAUUAUUCUGGCAACAGUGUCAGAGAGGUCAGUAUUGAGAGGGGAGGAGUCUGCAUGGAUGGAAUUUGUAGCAGAAAGAUCUGUUGUCCUGAAGGGGGUGUCUGUAUAGGCAGUGACAUUGUCAGUGACCUCAGUGUUGGGGGCAAGAGCAUCAGAGAACUCAGUGUUUUUGAGGGAGAUAUCAGUGCCAGGAACAUCGGUGUCAGGAACCUCAAUUUUGGGAGAGGUGUCAGUGUUGGGGGCAGUAGUGUCAAAGAGGUCAGUGAUGGGAAUAGAGGUGUCAGUUUUGGGGCCAGUAGUGUCAGAGAGGUCAGUGAUGGGGAUGGAGGUGUCAGUGUUGGGGGAAGAAGUGUCAGAGAGGUCAGUGAUGGGGAUGGAGGUGUCAGUAGUGCCAGAGAGGUCAGUGAUGGGGAUGGAGGUGUCAGUGUUGGGGGCAGUAGUGUCAGAGAGGUCAGAGUUGGGACUGCCAUGAUCCUGAGCAGCAGUGUUUGAGAUUUCAGUUUUGGGAAGAAUUGAAUCUAUGUCAUGGGAAAGGGCAUCAGAAAGAUCAGUAUACGCAAGAGAGCUGUUUGGAAGAGGUGUUUCAGCAGAGGAUGAGUCAGUAUUGGAUAGAACAGAUUCAGAGAACUCAGUGGUUUUGAGGGAGAUAUCAGUGCCAGGAACAUCAGUGUCAGGGACCUCAAUAUUGGGAGAGGAGGUGUCAGUGUUUGGGGCAGUUGUGACAGAGAGGUCAGUGAUGGGGAUGGAGGUGUCAGUGUUGGGGGCAGUAGUGUCAGAGAGGUCAGUGUUGGGAAUGGAGAGGUCAGUGCUGGGACUGCCAGGAUCCAGAGCAGCAGUGUUUGAGAUUUCAGUUUUGGGAAGAAUGGAAUCUAUGUCACGGGAAAGGGCAUCAGAAAGAUCAGUAUACGCAAGAGAGGUGUUUGGAGGAGGUGUUUUGGGAGAGGAGGUGUCAGUGUUGGGGAUGGAGGUGUCAGUGUUGGGGGCAGUAGUGUCAGAGAGGUCAGUGAUGGGGAUGGAGGUGUCAGUGUUGGGGGCAGUAGAGUCAGAGAGGUCAGUGUUGGGGAUGGGGUCAAUGUUGGGAAUGUCAGUGUCUGAGAUGUCAGUGUCUGAAGCAGCAAUGCUUGAGAUUUCAUUUUUGGGAAGGG